UACGUAGGGUGCAAGCGUUAAUCGGAAUUACUGGGUGUAAAGCGUGCGCAGGCGGUUUUGUAAGUCUGUCGUGAAAGCCCCGGGCUCAACCUGGGAAUUGCGAUGGAGACUGCAAGGCUUGAAUCUGGCAGAGGGGGGUAGAAUUCCACGUGUAGCAGUGAAAUGCGUAGAGAUGUGGAGGAACACCGAUGGCGAAGGCAGCCCCCUGGGUCAAGAUUCAAGUUCAUGCACGAAAGCGU
rnacentral:rRNA from 1 species